rnacentral:rRNA from 1 species
ACACAUGCAAGUCGAGGGGCAGCAUGAUUGGAGCUUGCUUCAAUUGAUGGCGACCGGCGCACGGGUGAGUAACGCGUAUCCAACCUUCCGUACACUCAGGGAUAGCCUUUCGAAAGAAAGAUUAAUACCCGAUGGUAUGAUGAGAUUGCAUGAUAGCAUCAUUAAAGAUUUAUCGGUGUACGAUGGGGAUGCGUUCCAUUAGGUAGUAGGCGGGGUAACGGCCCACCUAGCCGACGAUGGAUAGGGGUUCUGAGAGGAAGGUCCCCCACAUUGGAACUGAGACACGGUCCAAACUCCUACGGGAGGCAGCAGUGAGGAAUAUUGGUCAAUGGACGAGAGUCUGAACCAGCCAAGUAGCGUGAAGGAUGAAGGUCCUACGGAUUGUAAACUUCUUUUAUAAGGGAAUAAAACCUCCCACGUGUGGGAGCUUGUAUGUACCUUAUGAAUAAGCAUCGGCUAACUCCGUGCCAGCAGCCGCGGUAAUACGGAGGAUGCGAGCGUUAUCCGGAUUUAUUGGGUUUAAAGGGAGCGCAGACGGGUCGUUAAGUCAGCUGUGAAAGUUUGGGGCUCAACCUUAAAAUUGCAGUUGAUACUGGCGUCCUUGAGUGCGGUUGAGGUGUGCGGAAUUCGUGGUGUAGCGGUGAAAUGCUUAGAUAUCACGAAGAACUCCGAUUGCGAAGGCAGCACACUAAGCCGUAACUGACGUUCAUGCUCGAAAGUGUGGGUAUCAAACAGGAUUAGAUACCCUGGUAGUCCACACGGUAAACGAUGGAUACUCGCUGUUGGCGAUAUACAGUCAGCGGCUUA